ACAUUGCAAUCAUGGGUUAUUCUCUUUUGCUCCUGAAUAUUGUGAGGGGAAGACGUAUACUGGUGCUGGCUCCCUUUUAUAGCCCUUCACUGCGGAGAAACGAAUCUUCGGCUUUCUUGAAGAGUUUACGCAACUCAUCCCAUCAACCCUGUCCAUUGGAUAACGGCCUCCAUAUUUAAAUCGACUUAUAUGAACGCUAUGCAGGAAUGAUCAUAUAGGGAAUGCUAUCCUGAAUUAAUUAUUGUUCUCCGGCAAUACGCGGUUUGAUAGCAACGUUCCAUAUUCAUUGAUGAGCGGACAAUCUUCUUCUUCUUUAUAAACGACCGGUCUUAUUAAUGUAAAUCGUAGUGGUCCCUUAAGUAUAUUACAUUUGUUAUUUGAUUAUCUGUAAAAGUAUAUCUCAUGCCUUAGCUUUAUCCACCCUUCGGAUAAGCAGAUUAAAGGUGAAACAGUAAAUCAA
rnacentral:lncRNA from 1 species